rnacentral:rRNA from 1 species
UACGGAGGGUGCAAGCGUUAUCCGGAUUCACUGGGUUUAAAGGGUGCGUAGGCGGGCAGGUAAGUCAGUGGUGAAAUCUUCAAGCUUAACUUGGAAACUGCCAUUGAUACUAUCUGUCUUGAAUGUUCUGGAGGUUAGCGGAAUAUGUCAUGUAGCGGUGAAAUGCUUAGAUAUGACAUAGAACACCUAUUGCGAAGGCAGCUAACUACGGAAAUAUUGACGCUGAGGCACGAAAGUGUGGGGAUCAAACAGG